UGGUGGAGUGAUUUGUCUGGUUAAUUCCGUUAACGAACGAGACCUCGACCUGCUAAAUAGUACCAGUUAUCCUCGGAUAAUCUGGUCACUUCUUAGAGGGACUAUCGGCGGUGUACCCGAUGGAAGUUCGAGGCAAUAACA
rnacentral:rRNA from 1 species